UGGGAUACCCUGAGUUAUCGGUGCUUCUUGUUUUUGAGACUACAAAAACAAGAGUAAGACCAGGACUUACUCAGUUGUACUCCUUCCAUUUUCUGACUUUUGGACUCAUAAUGGGACUUAUACCAUCGACUUCCCUGGUUAUUAGGCCUGUGGACUUCAUUGAGUUGAACGAUUUUUCUCCAGCUUGCAGAUGGCAGAUUGUGGGACUUUGCGGCCUCAAUAAUCACGUGACAAGCCUGAAGCACAGAGAGGUUAAGUCAAUGUCCCCAAGAUCACACAGCUAUAUCGUGCGAGAGGCAUUUGCAGUUUGACUUGUGUUUUGAAGAACAAAGGCGUCCCACAGUAUUUGGCAGGCUUUUCCUCGGUCGCUUUGAAGAUGCUCACAGCAGGUGGCAGUGUGGCUUUGCAGAUGCCACUGGAAAAGGCUGGUGCAGAACCAGAGGGAUAAUUCCCACCAGAUCUUCAGAAUUUUGGGCUCCACAGCAAGAGCUGCCUCCUCCCCACCAAAUUAGAGCCUGGGCAGAGACCGAAUGAAGGGCUCAAAGAAAAUUCAGAAGAAUCACUGACACUGAUGUGAAUUCAAAGGAUGAGAAUUACUUGAGUCUUGUGUAACUUUAUUCAAUUGAGUUUUGUAUAGUUCUUGACAGGUUCAGAACCACAUAUGUGAAUAACAUGAUCACUGCCUUCAAAAAAUUUCACCUCAUGGCUUGUGUGUGUGUGUGUGUGUGUAUGUGUGUGUGUGUGCGCGCGUGUCUACUGCAUGUAGACAAAUACAGGUCUUUAUAUGUCUGUCUUGUGUAUACUACAUAUAGAAACUACAACAGGCCAAUAAUUGCUGCCACAAGAGGAAAGAUCUCUUGAUACAGGUGCACAGAGAGGAAACAUAACUAAAUGCUUUUCUUUCUUCCCUUCCCUUCCCUUCCCUUUCCUUCCCUUUCCUUUCCUUUAUGCUUUUCUUACUAGAGAAUGAAGAGACAGGGAUAAGUUACCUUCCAAGGUUACUGUCAGCUCUGACAUUCCAGAAGUUUGUGAAUCUUUUCAGAUCCUUUGACACUUUCUAUACUUUGAGAGUUUACAAAACAGACAAUUGUCCUUCAAAUAACACUGGGAUGAGGGAAGUCAUGGAGCUGGAUUACUCUCAAUGUCAUAUCUUAUUUGGCCUUUGUUUGCUAUUUAGCAGGACUCCUGUUCAAAUGGCAUGCGAUGGUGACCAAAGCAAUUAAGGAGAUUGAUUUGGCCUGCACAAUUUCAUUCUCUGCUUCCUGCGGUGAGGGAUGGAGGGGCCCAUCAGGGUCCAACAGAACUAAAUUUGAUUUUGCCCAAAUUAGGACAUCAAUUUUUCAAGUUGGCUUGGUAUUGUUAUAUUUAACUUAAACCUUAUUUUUUUAAAUAAACGUCCCAGAAAGAUUUUCAAAAUUAUAUUAAAUUUACUUGUCCUUUAUAAAGGUCUUUUUAUCCCCUCUACAUUAGUUGAUAGCUUAAAAAGAAAAAAAAAAUCCAGUGACUUUUCAAAUUAAUUUCACAGUGUUAUUUUCUGAGCCUCUUUGUAUAUCCUGUAGUA